GGCGGCCGCGGGGGGAGCGGGAGCCUUCCCUGAGGGAAGAGGAAGGGCUGAGCCGCGGCGGGAGCGGCGUGGAGGCUGACAAGGAGGAGACAAGCCUAAUGAGUUGUCAACAGCUAAUGAACAAAAUCUAAGGAUCUGAGGAUCUGUCCGAUGGAGAGAGUGGGAAUUGCCGAAGAGACAUGGAUUUUAGCAACACUCGGAGGAACAAAACAGAAGUAGGCAGCAUUUGCACUCAGGCACACAUCUUCUGAGUGAUUAACCCCUUUUAAAUCUACAAGUUUUCUCUGGUAAUAUAUUGCUGAUACAGUUUGUCACAUCUUUAUGGUGAUAAGGUUGUAGAUAACAGCAAUUUCACACCAAAUGUAGGUACAAUGGAAGUGCCUUGUAAGGUUCACACCCCAUAUAUCAGUGCAUUUGAAAACCCAAGUCAUUUUGGAUAUUAUCUUGCAUUUUAAUGUGUUAGUUAAAUAUGGUUCAUGAUCUGAAAUUAAACAUCCUAGAGUUAUAUAGUAGAGGAUAAAAUAUUCAUCUCAUAAUUACAGAACUUAAAUAGAAAAGAUGAAAACCCAGUGACGUUAGACUUUGAAAGAAAGAAUUAAAAAAAAAGAUUGUAUUGUAAAGGAGUGGCCCUGCAAGUAACGCUCACUCUCAGAUUUUUAGAUACUGUAU